rnacentral:misc_RNA from 1 species
AUGUCUGCGGAGAAGGUGCUCCUGAGCAGCCUCGAGAGCCCACCAUUAUCGCCCACCCCACUAACGCUUCAGCUCUAACUGUUCUUUCUGCCCUCAUCUCUCUAUGCCUUUUAGGGUGUGCGCGCGGCCUCAUCCUUCGCCAACUCUCGAGCAUCACCGCGAGAACGCACCUGUGCACUUGCGCUGAGACUUCGCCUUUUUAAACUCUCCAUUGCGUCCUGCCCUUAACGUAAAAGAAGCCCACCUAACAUAUCCUUCUCUAUCUGCCUUCAUCGACGCCGCGAUUGUCAGACGCGGGGACCUCUCGGCGCGCCAUUCACCGCCACAAAUAAUAACCCCCGGAUUAGCUGAUAUAGAUACACUCUGCGCCACGCACCCCCUUUGUCUUCCCUUUUUCACAGCUCCUCCCCUCCCCUCCCUCCUAUCUUUUUUUUUCUCUUGUGUUUGCUCGCAGCCAAAAAUGUCGUCCUUGCAGAAGAUCAGCGAUAUCGAGGCUGAGCUCGCCCGCACGCAGAAGAACAAGGCUACCAUGGCUCACAUUUGUGCUCUCAAGGCCCGCCUGGCGCAGCUCAAGCGCGAGCUCAUCGCGUCUGAGUCGAAGAAAGGCGGCGGCAAGGGCGAAGGCUUUGACGUGCAGAAGACCGGCGACGCUCGCAUCGGCUUCAUUGGCUUUCCGUCUGUUGGCAAGUCGACGCUGCUGUCGAAGAUGACCUCGACUCACUCCGAGGUGGCCGCGUACGAGUUCACCACGCUCACCUGCGUGCCUGGUGUGGUGAAUUACCGCGGCGCCAAGCUGCAGAUGCUGGACCUGCCCGGUAUCAUCGAAGGUGCCAAGGACGGUAAGGGUCGAGGCCGGCAAGUCAUUGCAGUGGCCCGCACUUGCUCUCUUAUCCUCAUCGUGCUUGACAUUGCCAAGCCGCUGCAGCACAAGCUCAUCAUUGAGCGUGAGUUGGACGGCUUCGGCAUUCGGUUGAACAAGUCGCCACCGGAUAUUGUGAUUCGAAAAAAGGACCGCGGUGGCAUCAGCAUCUCCUCGACGUGCCCGCUCACGCACAUUGACCAGGAGACGAUCAAGAUCAUCUUAGGCGAGUACCGCAUGGCGAACGCCGACGUCACCUUCCGCGGCGACUACACGGCCGACGAGUUCAUCGAUGCGAUCGAAGGGAAUCGCGCGUACAUCCCGGCCAUUUACGUGCUGAACAAGAUCGACCAAAUAUCGAUCGAGGAACUCGACAUCGUCGCCCGCAUUCCGCACAACUGCCCAAUCUCUGCCCAUCACGAGUGGAACCUGGACGGGCUCCUCGAGUGCAUAUGGGAUCACCUGAACUUCAUUCGUGUGUACACGAAGCCGAAGGGUCAGGUGCCAGACUACGACGCGCCGGUCAUUCUAAAGAAGUCGCCACAGCCGUCGGUGGAGAGCUUCUGCAACCGCAUUCACAGGCAGCUGAUACGCAACUACAAGUAUGCGUGGGUGUGGGGCUCGUCCGUGAAACACCAGCCGCAGCGUGUGGGCAAGGACCACCCGCUGGAUGACGAGGAUGUCGUGCAGGUGGUGAAGAAGGUAUAGAAACAACGGGGAAACUACAUUCGCAGCCAGCCUGAGAGGUCGACAGCGACGAAGGUGCACCCGUCAGGAAUGCCGCUGAUCACGUCACACAACACGCACGCGCACGUGGCGCUCAAGGGCGAUAAGGGCGGUGAGCUUGUAUUUCAUCAGCGUUUCACCGCGUCUGCAUCCCCCUUCUUACGAGUCGGACCCCUUACGCACCGUCGGUGCGGCAUGAUUAUCUAACAAGCGAGUUGGCCGCCGGCGAAUGUCUCAGUUUUAAGGGGCCUUCCCUUUUGUGUGCUGUUGUUUCUCUCUGUAGUUUGUUUGCCUUCUGUUUUUUUGUUGUUGUUUGGGAAGGUCUCUCUCUCUGCGUCUGGGCGUAUGUGUGUGUGUGUGUGUGUGUGUGCGUGUUCUUUGGCAUCUAACCUACGUUUCAAUCACCAAGAGGCCGUUUUCAUGCCCGCUCCCCGAGCGGCAG